UCAAAACGACUCUCGGCAACGGAUAUCUCGGCUCUCGCAUCGAUGAAGAACGUAGCAAAACGCGAUAUUUGGUGUGAAUUGCAGAAUCCCGUGAACCAUCGAGUUUUUGAACGCAAGUUGCGCGCGAAGCCAUUAGGCCGAGGGCACGUCUGCAUGGGCGUCAC
rnacentral:rRNA from 1 species